CAGCUCCUCUCCACUCACCGCUCAUCGUCACUCAUCGCCAUCACAACUCCACCCAAAAGAACAUCGGCCCACCACCAUUAACUCCACCUCGGCGAACACCACCACCACCACUCUCAUCUCUUUUUUUCACUGACUUUCACGACGAGCAACAACAUUUGAACUUGUGGUCUGAUCUUCUUUCUUCUAUUGUUUGACUUUCGGUUGCAAGUAGCAGUCAAAGAACUCAAAGAACCAUAGAGCAAGAUCCACUAAAUUAUGGAUCAACGUCAAAGUAGCACGGAAAGAGUCUUAGAGCAAGAGCAAUGCAAUUGUAAGUGUAUUUGACUUCGUGUCUUUGAAAUGUAUGCUAAUUGGGACUGUAUGUGUUGUAUGCAUAUGAAUUUGGGCUGAAU